rnacentral:rRNA from 1 species
UACGUAGGGUGCAAGCGUUGUCCGGAAUUAUUGGGCGUAAAGAGCUCGUAGGCGGCUUGUCGCGUCGGCUGUGAAAACCUGGGGCUCAACCCCGGGCCUGCAGCCGAUACGGGCAAGCUAGAAUUCGGUAGGGGAGACUGGAAUUCCUGGUGUAGCGGUGAAAUGCGCAGAUAUCAGGAGGAACGACCGGUGGCGAAGGCGGGUCUCUGGACAGUUCCUGACGGCUG